UGUAGUCUUAGCUGCUUUGGAAGGCCACCUGGUUUCCACAGCUAGUCACGGAAUUUUAUAACUGUAAUUACCUCAAGGCGGAAGAGCUGGCAGGAUCCUCAGCGUUGUGGCGAAGGACAGAGUAUACAGCCGGAAACAAGUGUCAGUGUUAACAGUGAGUUGGGGCUCAGUCUUAUUCAGCAACUUAACAAAUAUUUAUUGAGCGCCUACUCCGCGCCAGUCACGCAAAAUCACCCUAGCUACAUUUAAAGUGUGUGUGUGUGAAGUCGUGGUGGUGACCAGACUUAAACUUAAAGGCUCUACCUUUGGAGCUACCGAGAGCCAUCCUACUAUCUCAUAUCGCCUGAGAAUGAUGCUUAUUGGAAUGGCCCAUGGAGUCUGGAGGACUGUGUGCUAGUUAGGGGUAACCUGGCUUUGCAGUGUGGGAGCUUCUGGGAACAUCACCAGAACCUGUGACGCUAAUCAAUCCGAAGAAGCUGAAUUCAGAAAGAUAAAAUAAACCGUUAUCCAGCACUUGGAGCUUUCAUCC